AUUGAACGCUGGCGGCAGGCUUAACACAUGCAAGUCGAGCGAGCGGCGGACGGGUGAGUAAUGUCUGGGAAACUGCCUGAUGGAGGGGGAUAACUACUGGAAACGGUAGCUAAUACCGCAUACCAUCAGAUGUGCCCAGAUGGGAUUCGCUAGUAGGUGGGGUAAUGGCUCACCUAGGCGACGAUCCCUAGCUGGUCUGAGGGGAUGACCAGACACAAUGGAACUGAGACACGGGCCGAACUCCUACGGGAGGCAGCAGUGGGGAAUAUUGCAUAAUGGGCGCAAGCCGGAUGCAGCCAUGCCGGGUGUGUGAAGAAGGCCUUCGGGUUGUAAAGCACUUUCAGCUAGGAGGGGUUACUCGCAGAAGAAGCACCGGCGAACUCCGUGCCAGCAGCCGCGGUAAUU
rnacentral:rRNA from 1 species